AGUAACACGUGAGCAACCUGCCCCGAAGACUGGGAUAACACCGGGAAACCGGUGCUAAUACCGGAUGCCCUCCUCUGGUCGCAUGGCCUAGGGAGGAAAUGAAUUUUGCUUCGGGAGGGGCUCGCGGGCUAUCAGCUUGUUGGUGAGGUAACGGCUCACCAAGGCGACGACGGCCAGCUGGUCUGAGAGGACGACCAGCCACACUGGGACUGAGACACGGCCCAG
rnacentral:rRNA from 1 species